CCUACGGGUGGCUGCAGUGAGGAAUAUUGGUCAAUGGGCGCGAGCCUGAACCAGCCAAGUAGCGUGAAGGAUGACUGCCCUACGGGUUGUAAACUUCUUUUAUAAAGGAAUAAAGUGAGGCACGUGUGCCUUUUUGUAUGUACUUUAUGAAUAAGGAUCGGCUAACUCCGUGCCAGCAGCCGCGGUAAUACGGAGGAUCCGAGCGUUAUCCGGAUUUAUUGGGUUUAAAGGGAGCGUAGAUGGGUUGUUAAGUCAGUUGUGAAAGUUUGCGGCUCAACCGUAAAAUUGCAAUUGAUACUGGCAGUCUUGAGUACAGUUGAGGUAGGCGGAAUUCGUGGUGUAGCGGUGAAAUGCGUAGAUAUUAGGAGGAACACCAGUGGCGAAGGCGGCCUGCUGGGCUUUGACUGACGCUGAGGCUCGAAAGUGUGGGGAGCAAACAGGAUUAGAUACCCUGGUAGUC
rnacentral:rRNA from 1 species